CAAAACUUCGUAUAUCUCGGGAUUUUAACGAGACCAGUCUCAUACUCGUGAAAAUCGAGAGAGGAGUUUAAAUGGAAAAAGUUUACCUGCGGCUUCCAGAUGAUCUGAAGAUCAGGAAUAUAGAAAAUAUUGUCAAUUUGAUAUUGCUAAUGACCCAGUCAAGUCUGCUGAAGCCCAGAAGUUUCCAGACCAUGACAUUAAUGAAUAUUCCUUGAAUGGAAUGCAUGAGGAUUAGAAUGGGACCUUAUUCUGCCUUUUUACCAACUCACACCAUCUUUUCAAGAUUUAUGGAGCCAACCACAGAAGAAUUUGUUCUAUACACAUCAUUCAUAACAUUCUUAUUUAUGUUGCAAAACUUUAAAUGUUACUGGAUGGAUUGUGUUCACAUAAUGAAUACCAGCAAACUUUUUAUCGAGUGCACUUAAUUCGUAUUUUUCCUACCCAUCCAUCUAACAUAUGUUUUUAUAUUACAUAUUCAUAUACAUGUUACAUAACAUUUUUGGAAACAGCUAUUUUUUUAAAAUUGGAAUUUAGCCUUACUAUUUUAUACAAAUUUUUUUUAAAGGGACUUGGACACGAUUUUAGAUCAAAAUUUUGUUUUCAAUUUCUUUAUGCAUAAAAUUAUUUACUUGCUUUUUUUGAAUAAUUGACC